rnacentral:rRNA from 1 species
AGGAUGAACGCUGGCGGCGUGCUUAACACAUGCAAGUCGAACGAUGAAGGCUGGAGCUUGCUCUGGCUGGAUUAGUGGCGAACGGGUGAGUAACACGUGAGUAACCUGACCCCUGACUCUGGGAUAAGCGCUGGAAACGGCGUCUAAUACCGGAUACGAGCUUCCACCGCAUGGUGAGGAGCUGGAAGAAUUUCGGCUGGGAUGGACUCGCGGCCUAUCAGCUUGUGGUGAGGUAAUGGCUCACCAAGGCGACGACGGGGUAGCCGGGCCUAGGACGAGGGUGACCGGGACCACGACGUGGGAACUGAGACCACGGCCCGAGACUCCUACGGGAGCGAGUCGAGUGGGGAAUAGUU